rfam:Solirubrobacterales bacterium 70-9 SCNpilot_bf_inoc_scaffold_14289, whole genome shotgun sequence.
GCACCAGUGCCUUAAUCGGUUAAAGGACCGGACUUGUAAGCCGGUGAUCCGGGUUCGAGCCCCGGCUGGUGCA